GGAUGCUCAAACAUUGAAGAUGAAUCUAUCUGUUGUUAUUGUGGUAAAGUCAAUUUAAUUUAAUGAGCAUGCUUUUUUUAAAAAAAAUGAACAAGAGAUAUUUGAAAAUGCAAACGAACAGCACCAUCCCUGUUUGCCCUCAGCCUUUCUUCCUAACACACUCAGGAUGCAGCUCCCCCUACAAAAGUAGGACAGGUGAGUAAACUGUCAGGCACCUGGACUCAGCCAGGGCCUGUGUGUGUUCAGAGCCCCAGUUUAGUCUCCUCUUCUAGCUCUGUGCAUCCACAUGGUAAGGAUAGAUGAAGCACAGGACCACAGGACGUAGUUAUGGAAGGCUUUGACAGUGUGGGUUCACUGAACAGGCUGUGGCCCAGGACAGAGAGCAUGCAAGGAACUCACUGAUUUUAUUCUUAGGUCUUCUGGUAACAAGUGUGUGACUGGAGCAAUCUUGACUUCCUUAUGCCUCCAUUUUCCUAUCUGUUCAAUGCAGAGUUUAGAAUUAUGUUUUCUCGUGUCUGUUGCUGUUCUCUAGUUCUAUGCACUAUUGUGAAGACUUAUUGACUUCCAGGAGAGAAGGAGACUUGCUGACCUCUGGACUUCAUCCUCUCAGGAGUCUGCACUCAGCCUUUACCAACAGGAACACUGGUGCCCUCAAGUUGGUCCAAGAAGAUCUCACAGAAUAAACACAGCCAAAUUCCUGGUGGUUCUGCUGGUCCAGGAGGGAGUCACUUGCCUUGUACAUGACAGGAUGACUUUGAAAACCAGAUGCAUUGAUUCCAACUGACCAGAAGUCUUAACUUACUGAAAUUGUUGCCCUUUGUCUAUCUGCAUGAGGAAGAAUCGGGUAAGGUGGCAACAGCUGUAUUAAAAAUAACUACAUCCCCAGGUGCCAAGCACUGGAUAACAGGGUAUUAUAUAUGCAGAUUCAGUCCAAUCUAUUUUCAUCAAUGGGUCUAAAUGCUUAGAAUUGACAUUUAAUCACUUCAUUCAAUAAACAUUGUUUGAGUACCUCCACUAUAUUCCAGGUGCUAUUCUAGGCCUUGGAGAAACAACUCUGGAUACAUUAAAGACCCUCUGUAUGGGAAGAAAGCAAAUAAAUAUACAACAUAUCAGUUAGUGGUGAGUGCUGAGAAGAAAAAAUAAACCAGGAGAAGGGUGAUAGAGUGAGAGAAUAGGGACUUCUGAGCUUUUACCAAGACUGAUGAUAGGAGUUUUCUCUGAGUAUGUGAUGUUUGAGCAGAGAUCUAGGCAAGACAAGAUUAUGACAUGAGAAGAGGGAAAAGCUGGUUUUCUUCAUCAUAUUCUGUUAAGUCAAGGCAGAAGAUGGCGUCUUUUAAGAAAUAGUAUCAGAAGGUUCUCAAAGAAAACAUUAGCCCUCAGUUAAUUAGAAAAUCCAAUUGGCCAGAAUUCCUCUUAACUCCAUUUCCUAGGCAAUCAAAUGAGUGUAAUAUAUGCAUUUAUACAUACAAUAUAUAAAUUUAAAUGCUCUUAAUUAUCUUCUCAGACACAACAUGUUAUAGUGGGAAAAGAAUGAACUUUUAUAUAUUAUAUAAACUUUUAUAUAUUUAUAUAAAUAUAAUAAGUAUAAUUGGUGAAUUCCACUAAGAAAACAACUCCAUCUUUUUGUGAUUUUGAGUCAACUUGUUAACCUUCCCAGAUUUCAUUUUAUCCAUAGAAAUAUAACAUACUUACCCUUUAGACUGACUAUAAGGAUUAUAUCAGAUGCCAUAUGUAAGAUUAGACACCUAGAAGUGUCUAAAAAUAUGUUAAACUUGUUUUCCCAAGGUGCCAAGAGAAUUACUAAUCCAUGAAGAGUGUCACAAAGUAAUGCAAUAGCUAUAAAAUUUUAUUUCUUUUCCCAGCAACAGAAUUGGAAACUUUAGGAUAUCCAGGAAACCAGUGGCUUAAGUGCACUUAAGAUUUAUUGAAAUGAUUAUUCUACUGUGUCGUCAGUGUCAAUGUCCCUUCUGGACUAUUCGUUUGAAGUUUUUUAUUCCAGCUACAUAUUAGGACAGCAGACAAUAAUGAGAAUGAAUAUCAUGUCUGGAAUUUCUCCUUUUAACACUGAGCCCUAAGACUAUAACCAUCAGUCAAGCAUGCUAGACAUAUGCUCAAAUUUAGCCUUUCAUUGUCUACAGAAUUAACAUUUCUUCUUCGUCCAGUGCCGGUGGUCCAGUGGGAUGGGUCCUAUAAAAUGGGCACCCAUGAAUUUUCAUGUAACAUUUAUUGAAACAGUUUUUAAGAACCCAAUACCUACUUCAUUGGGUUUUCCUAAAAUAGAAUGAAUAGGAUCUGCUUAGUUCCAUUUUAAACUCACUUGUGUAUUUUUCUUCCUCUUAUUGCAUAUUUACAGCACUAGGAUUAGAAUAAAAUUCCCACGUCCUAUCUGCUGCUUGGUACUCUAUAUGGUGGUUUCUUUAAAAUAUAUGAAUGGGCUAUUUUCUCAUUUCUGUUAGUUAUUUCCAGAGGUUGGUAUUGGGACAGCUGCAGGAUGGCCAUCACUAUGCUCAUUCCACGUUGUUGUUGAAGUUUUUCAUGAACAAACCUAGCAAUUAGAGAUCAAACCACUGUUGGACAUCAUCAUGCUGCCCUUUCUCCAGAGGUUCAUUCCAUUUUUACAGAUGUGGUAUCAAGCUUUCUCAAAAUGGAAAGGUACUAUCUUCUUCCAUUAUAAAUUCAUUUUUAUUAUGGGUAUGAACUCUACUUGAGUUAGUGUUAAGUGUAUACCUGGAAUGAACCCCACCAAUUUUAACAUCAGAGAAUUUUCUAUAAGCUCAUAGGCCUUAGAAAGGAGUCAGCUAACCCCUGGGAAAACCAGAAUACCUGAUCUUUUCUUUUAAAAUGUUUAUUUAUUGAUGUAUUUGAGAGACAGAGAGUCAGAAAAAGAGAGACAGACAGAGAGCUCCAGUCCACUGGCUCACUCCCUAAAUAUCCGCAAUAAGCUGGGAGUCACGUACUCAGCUAAUUCUCCCAUAUGGGCAAGAAGGACCCAGCUACUUGAGCCAUCACCUGUUGCCUCCCAGGGUCUGCAUUAACAGGAAGUUCUAUCCAGAGCAGAUGCAGUACUCAAGCCCACAUAUUUUAAUAUGGGAUGUGGACAUCCUAAUUAAUGCUCUGCCAGUUCAAACACCCAGGCCAUCGCCCCUGAAAAUUGCCUGCUACUUCACAAGCCCCUGGAUAUUGACUAAAUUUGUCUUAAUUGGAUGUGUCAGCAUUCAUCUUCAAUACUAAGUGUGAAGUCAAAGGGAAGCCUUGAAAGUAGUUAUCAGACAGGCAUUUUGAUAAAAUGAUAGUAAUCAAACCCAUAAAAGGAGCCUAAUACUGGAAUGAGUAUCACUUUUAGGUAAUAUUUGGUACUUUAUUACUAUAAUUUACACAGCAUUUUCUAGACUAUUAGCUUAUAUACUGUCUACCAGUCAAUGUAUAGUAAAUAAUCAUCUUCAUUUUCACAGAUAAGAAAACCUGAGACUUAAAAGUUAAACAUGGACUGGAAUUGUUAAGGUUAAGCUGCCGCUUAAGACACCAACAUCCUAUAUUGGAGCGCUGGUUCAAGUCCUGGCUGCUCCACUUCCAAUCCAACUAAUGUGCCUGGGAGGGCAGCUUCUAGAAGAUGGCCCAAGUACUUCAGCCCCUGUCACCCAUGUGGGAGACCUGGAUGGAAUUCCUGGCCCCUGGUUUCAGGGCCAGACUAGGCUGUUGCAGUCAUUUAGGGAAUAACUGGGUAAAGGAAGAAUCUCUCUCUCUCUCUCUCUCUCUCUCUCUCUCUCCAUUUCAAGUAAAUAAAUAUUUAAAAACAACAAGAAGAAGUUAAAACAGUUUGCCGAAAAUCAUACAGCUAGCCAACGUCCACUGGAACUGGACUGCAGGUCUUCAGACUUAAACCCUCUGCUCUCUUCCCUCCACUAAUGUCUUCCAAUUCCUGUAUCUUGUAGAUACAUUUAUUCAUUUUAUGACAUCUACUACCCACUUGUUCUUUUCAUGCUAUUUUAUGUAGACUCAAGUUUCAGCUCACUGAUGAGCUACAGAUCCUCAACAAAUCUCUGAAUUACAAAAUUGAUUCUAAGUUGAAGGAGAUGUGAAGUGUGUUUUCAUACAAUAAAUAUUAUAUCAGCACACAUGUACUUCUGAGCUUGUUGAUAAAAGAAUAGAUUCAGUUCUCUCUGUCAUUUUUUUUUGGAGCUGCACCCAGUUCUUCCUGUGCUUUGAAACUCCAAACCACUGUUCACCCCAAAUUGCAGUGGGAUCUUUCAACAUAUGCUCUUUAGAUCAGUCACUCAGUACUUUGUCAUGAAUUGACUAUGUGUCUCAUGUGUCACUGGCUUAUUAUUCUUGGUUCAUUAUAAUUUAAUUUUCCCUAUAUGAAUUGCCUCCCCACUAGAGAUUAACCAUAUAGAAAAAAAACAGGGGCCAUAUCUCAAACUUUUCCCAAUGCCUUAGAUUUAAGGUUGCUUAGAAGUGUAUUUUUUAAAGACAGACCCAAAUAAAAUCUAUUAUACUUAUAAUGGUCAUUUACCUGCUACUUCUUUUUGUUAACAACUAUUUUUGUUGGGUAGUCAUGUGAUCCAGAAAUGCAAUGAGAUAUAAGUAGAUUCAUUCUGGAAAAGCUUUUACUUCCAUUUGAAAUUGACAGGGAGAAGAGACUCACAAACCCACGCCUUCCCUUUCUUCUUGACAUAUGUCCUGUCCCUGUGGCUGUAAUCAUGUGACAUGAAAGGCACCAGGCAUUAGACUGAAAUGAUAACAGCCCAGAAUGGUAGAGCAGAAAGAAAAAGACCUUGACGACAUACAUGAGCAGCUGCAUCAGUGCCAGCAGUCACCUCCCUUCAGUCUUCCUGGGCAUGAGAUACCUCGUGUCUGUAUUAAGCCAUUUCUGCUCUGCCUGAAUGAGUAAAUGAGUAUAUUCAGAGUUUCAUACCAGAAUUGAACCACCCAUCUUUCUUUGAGCUCCCUAAUAGGCAAAACAAUAGCAUAAAAAAGAUAGUUGAUCAGUUAAUAUUAGCCAUUGUCUUUGCAGAGAAAAGGUACCAGUUCUUCAAGGAAAGCCCUGCUGCUCAUGAAACUUAGUUCUUUCAUAAACGUCUCGAGUAAAGUACCAUAGAGGAACACAAAGUAUGGAAAAUAUAUUCAAGUCACAUCCACACAUUAAAUGCAAAGUUAGAUUUCAUAUAGUUGUUUCUUCUAAUACAAUUUAAUGUAAACUGAGGAUAUAAUACCCAACCUCAACUCAGUAAAAAAAAUUGUAGAGGGGCUGUUGUUGCAGUAUCACAGGUUAAGCCACCAUAUACAAGGCCAGCAUCCCAUAUGGGCACCAGUUGGAGUCCCUGCUGCUCCACUUCUGAUCCAGCUCCUUACUAAUACACCUGGGAAAGCAGGAGAAUUUAGUCCAAGUGCUUGGGCUCCUGUCACCCAUGCAUGGAAUUUCUGGCUCUCAGCCUGUCCCAACCCUGAGUGUUGUGGUCAUUUGGGUAGUAUACUAGUGGAUGGAAAAAUUUCUCUGUCUCUGUCUCUGUCUCUCUCUCCCUCUCUCUCUCUCUCUCCCUCUCUCUCAUUCUGCCUUAUUAAUUAAAUAAAUAAAUCUUUUUUUAAAAUAAUUAUAUAAGAGACAAUUUAGGUCAUUUGACUUAAAUAGAUUUUUUUGAUUG